rnacentral:rRNA from 1 species
UUGGCCUACGGGGGGCAGCAGUGGGGAAUAUUGCACAAUGGGGGAAACCCUGAUGCAGCGACGCCGCGUGAAGGAAGAAGUAUCUCGGUAUGUAAACUUCUAUCAGCAGGGAAGAAAAUGACGGUACCUGACUAAGAAGCUCCGGCUAAAUACGUGCCAGCAGCCGCGGUAAUACGUAUGGAGCAAGCGUUAUCCGGAUUUACUGGGUGUAAAGGGAGCGCAGGCGGCAUGGCAAGUCAGAUGUGAAAGCCCGGGGCUCAACCCCGGGACUGCAUUUGAAACUGUCAGGCUGGAGUGCAGGAGAG